rnacentral:rRNA from 1 species
UCGACCAAGAGAUCGGAUAACACCUGGAAACAGAUGCUAAUACCGGAUAACAACAGAUGAUGCCUAUCAACUGUUUAAAAGAUGGUUCUGCUAUCACUCUUGGAUGGACCUGCGGUGCAUUAGCUAGUUGGUAGGGUAACGGCCUACCAAGGCGAUGAUGCAUAGCCGAGUUGAGAGACUGAUCGGCCACAUUGGGACUGAGACACGGCCCAAACUCCUACGGGAGGCAGCAGUG